rnacentral:rRNA from 1 species
GAAACUGCUGCUAAUACCUGAUAUAUUCUUCGGAAUGAAAUGGUCCGCCGCCGAGGGAGGGGCCUGCGGCGUAUUAGCUUGAUGGUGAGGUAACGGCUCACCAUGGCGAUGAUGCGUAGCUGGUCUGAGAGGACGAUCAGCCAGACUGGGACUGAGACACGGCCCAGACUCCUACGGGAGGCAGCAGUUCAGAAUCUUGCACAAUGGGCGAAAGCCUGAUGCAGCCAUGCCGCGUGUGCGAAGAAGGCCCUCGGGUCGUAAAGCACUGUCAGAGGGGAAGAUUAUGACGGUACCCUCAAAGGAAGCAACGGCUAAUUACGUGCCAGCAGCCGCGGUAAUACGUAAGUUGCGAGCGUUAUCCGGAAUCACUGGGCGUAAAGCGUUCGUAGGCGGUGCAGCAAGUCGGGUUUGAAAUCCCAGGGCUCAACUCUGGAUCCGGAUUUGAACUGCUGUGCUUGAGCAGAUCA